CUAGGAAAAGAAAGGCACAAUUAGAGCAGGAUGUUAUACUUGUUAAUGCUCAAGAUAGCCUGCAGCAAAUGGAUAAUCUCAGCUCGGAUGCAAUGACCCUUAAUGGAUAUUAU